CGGCGUACGGGUGCGGAACACGUGUGCAACCUGCCUUUAUCUUGGGGGAUAGCCUUUCGAAAGGAAGAUUAAUACCCCAUAAUAUGUUGGAUGGCAUCAUUCGACAUUGAAAACUCCGGUGGAUAGAGAUGGGCACGCGCAAGAUUAGAUAGUUGGUGAGGUAACGGCUCACCAAGUCUACGAUCUUUAGGGGGCCUGAGAGGGUGAUCCCCCAACUGGUACUGAGACACGGACCAGACUCCUACGGGAGGCACAGUGAGGAAUAUUGGACAAUGGGUGAGAGCUGAUCCAGCCAUCCCGCGUGAAGGACGACUGCCCUAUGGGUUGUAAACUUCUUUUGUAUAGGGAUAAACCUACCCUCGUGAGGGUAGCUGAAGGUACUAUACGAAUAAGCACCGGCUAACUCCGUGCCAGCAGCCGCGGUAAUACGGAGGGUGCAAGCGUUAUCCGGAUUAUUGGGUUAUAAAGGGUCCGAUAAGCGGAUCUGUAAGUCCAGUGGUGAAAUCUCAAAAGUUAACUGGUGAAAACAUGGGCCAAUUGGAUUAACUUGGCAAGGGUCCAUUAGAAGUAGUAAGGCAGAAAAAGUAAAGCUUGGGCAAA
rnacentral:rRNA from 1 species